UACGUAGGGGGCUAGCGUUGUCCGGAAUCAUUGGGCGUAAAGCGCGUGUAGGCGGUUCGGUAAGUCCGCUGUGAAAGUCGGGGGCUCAACCCUCGGAAGCCGGUGGAUACUGUCGAGCUAGAGUACGGAAGAGGCGAGUGGAAUUCCUGGUGUAGCGGUGAAAUGCGCAGAUAUCAGGAGGAACACCAAUUGCGAAGGCAGCUCGCUGGGACGUUACUGACGCUGAGACGCGAAAGCGUGGGGAGCAAACAGG
rnacentral:rRNA from 1 species